GUCUGUGACUUACCACCUUAAACACACCCAAACUUGUCUCAUCUCAGAAGCUAAGCAGGGUCAGGCCCGGUUAGUACUUGGAUAGGGAGGAGUGACAACGGAAACAACUUAGCUUUGCAAUCU
rnacentral:rRNA from 1 species